AUUGAACGCUGGCGGCAUGCCUUACACAUGCAAGUCGAACGGUAACAGGUCUUCGGAUGCUGACGAGUGGCGAACGGGUGAGUAAUGCAUCGGAACGUGCCCAGUAGUGGGGGAUAGCCCGGCGAAAGCCGGAUUAAUACCGCAUACGACCUGAGGGGGAAAGGGGGGGAUCGCAAGACCUCUCGCUAUUGGAGCGGCCGAUGUUAGAUUAGCUAGUUGGUGGGGUAAAGGCCUACCAAGGCAACGAUCUGUAGUUGGUCUGAGAGGACGACCAGCCACACUGGGACUGAGACACGGCCCAGACUCCUACGGGAGGCAGCAGUGGGGAAUUUUGGACAAUGGGCGCAAGCCUGAUCCAGCAAUGCCACGUGCAGGAAGAAGGCCUUCGGGUUGUAAACUGCUUUUGUCAGGGAAGAAAUCUUCUGGGUUAAUACCUCGGGAGGAUGACGGUACCUGAAGAAUAAGCACCGGCUAACUACGUGCCAGCCGCCGCCGUAAUAC
rnacentral:rRNA from 1 species